UCCGAGUUGACCCCGGCAGUCUCCCUAGAGUCCCCACCAUUACGUGCUGGCAACAUAGAACGAGGGUUGCGCUCGUUGCGGGACUUAACCCAACAUCUCACGACACGAGCUGACGACAACCAUGCACCACCUGUAUAGGACGCCGAAGCACACCACAUCUCUGUGGCUUUUCCCUAUAUGUCAAGCCCUGGUAAGGUUCUUCGCGUUGCGUCGAAUUAAGCCACAUGCUCCGCUGCUUGUGCGGGCCCCCGUCAAUUCCUUUGAGUUUUAGCCUUGCGGCCGUACUCCCCAGGCGGGGCACUUAAUGCGUUAGCGCCGGCACGGGAGGAGUCGACACCUCCCACACCUAGUGCCCAUCGUUUACGGCGUGGACUAC
rnacentral:misc_RNA from 1 species